rnacentral:rRNA from 1 species
UACAGAGGGUGCAAGCGUUGUUCGGAAUUAUUGGGCGUAAAGCGCGUGUAGGCGGCUCAGCAAGUCGGGUGUGAAAGCCCUCGGCUUAACCGAGGAAGUGCGCCUGAAACUACUGAGCUUGAGUACCGGAGAGGGCGGUGGAAUUCCCGGUGUAGAGGUGAAAUUCGUAGAUAUCGGGAGGAACACCAGCGGCGAAGGCGACCGCCUGGACGGCUACUGACGCUGAGACGCGAAAGCGUGGGGAGCAAACAGG